rnacentral:rRNA from 1 species
GGUAAUUAAAUUAUUUUUUAUUGUUUUGGAAGCGGCCUUUCUCUUAGUAUUUUAUUUGAAUAGAGGGUUUUUAUUAUAGUUUAUUAGUAUAGUGGUUGAAAUUUGAAAUAUUGUUUUUUCGUUAAAAAGAAGGAUUAACUUUUUGUACCUUGUGUAUCAGGGUUGAUUAAUUAGGGGUUUUGAAUAGGAUUUUCCCGAAUCAAGUAGAGCUAGUUAGGAAUUAAUUUAGUUGUUUAAUUACCUUUUGUAAUUUCUAAUUUGAGGCGAAACGUUAUUCGUUUCUUGAGAUAUCUGGUUUUCUUAGAAAUGAAUUAAAUUCAUUUGUUGGCUAGGUUUACUUCUACUUUUGGGGUUUGGCUGUCAAUAAAAAAUAUCAGGGGGGAUGAGCUCUUUGUUAAAUUUCUAUAAUCGUUGUUUUGGGAAUUGGUAUGUGUGAUUGAGAUUGUCAAUCUUUAGUAUAAUUUUGUAGUUUUCUUUUUCUUUGUUUUUCUUUUUAUUUAAUUUAGGUUGUUUCUUUGAAUUUUUUCUUUAUCUUUUUUUGUUUAUUUAUUAUGAUUAAAUUAGUAAAUUUUUGUUUGUUUUGUUGAUUGGUUACUAGGUCUGGUAAAGGAACUCGGCAAAUUUGUUUUUCGCCUGUUUAUUAAAAACAUGUCCUUUUGAUUAUGAUUUAAGGUCUGAUCUGCUCAAUGAUGAUUUAAAUUGCCGCGGUAUUUUGACCGUGCGAAGGUAGCAUAAUAAUUAGUUCUUUUAUUGGGAGCUGGAAUGAAUGAUUGGACGAGAAAGCGGCUGUCUCUACCUUAUUUGUUUUUGAAUUUUACUUUUAGGUAAAAAGGCCUAAAUUUUUCUUAAAGACGAGAAGACCCUAUAGAGUUUAAUAUUCACGGGGGUGAGAGGUUUCUGGAAUUUGUUUCUUUCAUCUUUUUGUUUGUUUGGUUGGGGUGACUAGAAGAUUGGUAAUACUCUUCUAAUGUUUUGUUACUGAUAUGUAAAUUUUUAUUCUGGAUUUUUCAAGUUUAAAUAAAAUUACCUUAGGGAUAACAGCGUAAUCUCUCUUUAGAGUUCGUAUUGGAAGAGGGGGUUGCGACCUCGAUGUUGGAUUAAAAUUAAUAUUUGGCGCAGUAGCUUAAUUAUUGGGUCUGUUCGACCUUUAAAAUUUUACAUGAUCUGAGUUUAAACCGGUGUGAGCCAGGUUGGUUUCUAUCUUUAGUUUUCUUUGACGUUUUAGUACGAAAGGACAGGGCGUUGGAUAGAUUAUUUCUGUUUGAAUUUUAUU